rnacentral:rRNA from 1 species
GAUGAACGCUAGCUACAGGCUUAACACAUGCAAGUCGCGGGGCAGCAUGGGGGUUGCUUGCAAUCCCCGAUGGCGACCGGCGCACGGGUGAGUAACGCGUAUCCAACCUGCCCUUCACCACGGGAUAACCCGGCGAAAGUCGGACUAAUACCGUAUGUUGUCCAUUGACGGCAUCCGAUUUGGACGAAAGGUUUGGCGGUGAAGGAUGGGGAUGCGUCCGAUUAGCUGGACGGCGGGGUGACGGCCCACCGUGGCGACGAUCGGUAGGGGUUCUGAGAGGAAGGUCCCCCACACUGGAACUGAGACACGGUCCAGACUCCUACGGGAGGCAGCAGUGAGGAAUAUUGAUCAAUGGGCGUAAGCCUGAACCAGCCAAGUAGCGUGCAGGAUGACGGCCCUAUGGGUUGUAAACUGCUUUUAUGCGGGGAUAAAGUGGCCCACGUGUGGGUUUUUGCAGGUACCGCAUGAACAAGGACCGGCUAAUUCCGUG